rnacentral:rRNA from 1 species
UACAGGGGGUGCAAACGUUGCUCGGAAUCAUUGGGCGUAAAGCGCACGUAGGCGGUUCGUUAUGUCGGAUGUGAAAGCCCUUGGCUUAACCGAGGAAGUGCAUCCGAAACUGGCGAGCUAGAGUACGAAAGAGGAUCGCGGAAUUCCCGGUGUAGAGGUGAAAUGCGUAGAUAUCGGGAGGAACACCUGCGGCGAAAGCGGCUCACUGGACCACAACUGACGCUGAGGCGCGAAAGCUAGGGGAGCAAACAGG